rnacentral:rRNA from 1 species
AGUCACUGACAUUAGAUACCCCCGUAGUCCAGGGUGUAAACGCUGCAGACUUGGUGUUGGAAGUCCUUUGGGGGCAUUCAGUGCCGGAGAGAAGUUGUUAAGUCUGCUACUUGGGGAGUACGUCCGCAAGGAUGAAACUUAAAGGAAUUGGCGGGGGAGCACCGCAACGGGAGGAGCGUGCGGUUUAAUUGGAUUCAACACCGUAAACUCACCAGGGAAGACUGUUACAUGAAAGCCGAGAUGAAGACUCUGCUAGAUUUUUCAG